GAUGAACGCUAGCGACAGGCCUAACACAUGCAAGUCGAGGGGCAGCGCGGAGGUAGCAAUACUUCUGGCGGCGACCGGCGCACGGGUGAGUAACACGUAUGCAAUCUGCCUGUAACAGGGGGAUAACCCGGAGAAAUCCGGCCUAAUACCCCAUAACGACGAGAUCUCGCAUGGGGAUUCGUCUAAAGAGAGCAAUCUUGGUUACAGAUGAGCAUGCGGUCCAUUAGCCAGUUGGCGGGGUAACGGCCCACCAAAGCGACGAUGGAUAGGGGUUCUGAGAGGAAGGUCCCCCACAUUGGAACUGAGACACGGUCCAAACUCCUACGGGAGGCAGCAGUGAGGAAUAUUGGUCAAUGGGCGAGAGCCUGAACCAGCCAAGUCGCGUGAGGGAAGACGGCCCUAAGGGUUGUAAACCUCUUUUAGAUGAGAGUAAAGGUACCUACGCGUAGGUAUUUGCAAGUAUCAUCAGAAUAAGCAUCGGCUAAUUCCGUG
rnacentral:rRNA from 1 species